rnacentral:lncRNA from 1 species
CUCUUCUUUCAUACCUGAGAAUUUAGAAGCUGAUGUUCUCAUUUUGUGAAUUGCACGUUUCCAAUCUCCAACUUUCCUUUGGCUUUUCAUGGCUCGACCCACUGUUUUAAGCGCUAGCGGCAACCCACCACACUCUCUUGCCAAGGUUUCGGCUAGCUCUGGAAUACCGGUAUGACUGUCCAGAGUGGAUCUGUCGACCAUCUCCUGAAAUAAUUCCCAGGCUUUAUCAUGCGCCAAACUAUACACUUCCACCUUUUCAGCGUCCAUUUGAUCGCAAACACCAGCUGAACGAGUUGUCAAGACUACUUUGGACCCAUCAUUUAGUUUUUGAAGAGGGACACCCAAUUCUGUUAAAUGAAUGGGUUUCCAUAUAUCAUCCAAUAACAACACAAACUUCCUUCUGCUUAAAAUGCUAGCGAUGUCCACAGCCUUGUCUUGAGGACUUUUUUUCGCCCAGCUUUGGUCUUCUGAAAAGCCAAUCCUUUUUCCAAUGUCAUCUUGAAGUGUUGACGCAGCCGCCCAGAUAACAACAUCAAAAUUAUGCUGUUGAUGGCAGAAGUUGUUGUUGACUUGUUUUAAAAGGGUAGUUUUGCCGACUCCCCCUAUACCAUACAAGCCGAUAAUUCCCCUGUUAUUUUCCUCAUCAGUGAUACAUCUCCAAACUCGAUCAAGUAAUAAUUCUUGACCAACAACUGUGUGCUCAACAGGUAAUUCAAUUGCUGCACCAUCCGGCGCCUUCUCAACAACCACUUCAAUUUUUUCUCCGUCUUUCUUUAAAUUGAUCACUCGAUCCGUCAACUCGACCACCUGAGUCCCGUAAUUGUAGCUUGAAACGAAGUUUUUGGAACAGAGGCCUCCAAGGCACAAUCUAUCGAUUUCAUGAGCUCUAACUCGUUCCAGCUCGGUAAAUUCAGUUUCCAGUUUUUGCACAUCUUCAAGCCACCCUGCGACCUGGUUCGUUCGUCUGGUUCGAGGUCGUUGUUCUUCGACCUCAACCUUGGUCUUCAGAUCGUCCCUUGCUCGAGUCAAUUUGUGCAAUUCAGUCUCCAAGACCCGAAGGUUUUUUUCGAGACCCCAUACAUAAUUUGCUUGUUCACCAACGCAGUUUGAAGUUCGAUCAAAUAAGUCUGCUGGUAAGAAGGUUGAGAUUAGGUUACCCAUUGUCGUUGACGAAAAGAGGAAGAGAAGCAACGAGUACAAUGAAAAGAAUUAAGCUAAUUUUUACUUAAAUUCUUAAGAAUUGCUGUCAAAUGCAAACAGAGUAUGAGAAUCAGGUCUUUAUUGAUUAUGAUGACUUGAAUGAAAAUGAAAUACAGAGCUUUGCUAGUUUACAUACAGAGACAAAAAAUAAUGACAGCUAGCCUAAGGGGUAUUACACGGAAGUAAUCAAAAUUGAUCCGUGAAUAUAGCAAUUGUGAACCAAUCACAUUAAGCUUCUAGAAGAUGCAACUAUUCAAUGCACAUGCGCUGCUAUUCUUCAACAUAACAGUUUUGCCAGCUCAACAAAUCCAACUCACAGAAUCAAGGUCAACCGUUGACUCUUCACAGCUGCUGCUUUCAACAAUUUUUAGAGAACCACAACACCAAAAUAAAAAUAUGAUACAUUUGUUGCUUUAUUCAUUAUGUCAAAUAUCAAGAAUAUAAUGAUACGUUUGCACGUCAUAUAAAAUUUGUAUUUCAACCAAGUAAUCACAUAGUUAAUAUUAAAUCUUAUCAUUUGUUAUCUAAGUGAUAAAUUUAUAUUGACAAUAUAUUAUUUAGAAUAAAAAUUUUCUACCUUAGGUUUGGAUGAAGAUCCAAAAUAUUAAGUCAAUGAUAGAUAGAUAAAAAAUAAAAUAAAAUAAAUUUUAACAUUAAUUUUUUAUUUAAUAAAAAGUAAAUUCAAUACAGAAUUCUAAUCCCUUAAUCUCUCUCCAUCCACGGCAAAAGAAAGCAGCAACUCAACUCUCUUUAAAGGCUAUGGAGGUUCUCUUGCGACCUCUCUUCAGCAUACCCUCCAGAACAUUAACCCCACCACCGCCAUCACCACCCUGUUAAACACGUUUUCAAAACGUGUAUAAUGUGGCCAUCUAAUUUAUUUUUAAUUAUUAGUUUUCUAAUUUAAAUUGAUAUUUAUCUUUAUUUAGUUUACUUUUAAAACGUUGGGUUUGGUUUAAAAUUUGAAUAAAGAUAAAACAUCUCUUCCUAAUAUCUCUCAUACACGUUACGGGUGGUUUACUAAAAUCAAGGGGAUAACGGCUCAUAACUUCCUCUUUUAUUUAAACUUGUCAUCUUGAUGGGAGAUGUUUUACGGUCACGUUUUUUCAAGAAAAAUAUUGAGGGUCCCUGGUCUAACAACAGAGCCUGUGUAUACCAUCUACUCUCAGGAAUUAAGUGUUGGAUAGACUAGAAAAUUCUGAGUACAAAGCAUGGCUUGUUUUCGUUGGUUUUGUUUGCAUUCCAGUAGAAAGGUUGUGUACAAUUGAAUUUGAUAACUAUGGCAGGAGGUAAGUUUUCUAACUUGUGCAUGAUGAAUAUAGUCUUUUACACCCCACCAAUCAUCUCACUCUCAAAACUCUCCAUUUUUGCCUCCAUUAAUUCCCACUCUCUCCAAAACCCUGAUUUCUUCCUCUUCUCGUUUCCUCUCGCCCGCCCCUGGUACGCCAAUUUCCAUUCUCUCGCUCUUUUUUUUGGCAAUUUUGGCUUGAGUUUUUUGGGUUUUUGGUAAUUUAUCUUUAAUUUUUGUGGGUAUCCUUCGUUUUUUUAGUUAUCAUACAUGAGUUGAGUAGUCGUAGACGAUUUUUUAUUGUUUUAAACUGAACGGAUUCUUUGUAUUUCGAAAAUGAAAUUCAUUGUUUGUGAAGUAACUUUUAAAGCUGUUGAGUUGAGUUUGAAAACUUAAUGUGCUUAAAUUUAUCUAUGUGGAUUUGAAUCAGUUAGACAAGCAGCACAGGAGAGCCAAUCGAGCGCGGAGGUGAAUGCCGAUAGAAGAGAAUGGUUUAUGCAAGGUACAUUAAUAGUAAUUUGAUCUGAUGCCAAUUUUAUUUCUAUAUUAAUUUAUUAGAUUAUGUAAUGUUAUAAAUUCUUUGUUCAAAAUGUAGAGCUUGGAAAUUUAGUCGGUACAUUAUGGUAAUGAAUGUAGCUUGUGUAUCUGUUCAAAUUUAUGUCUAGCUUUGCUGUUUUGGUAAUGGUUUGUUUAGUAUAAAUUUUGUGUUGGUUAUGAUGUUGUUUAGUGGUUUGGAUCACUCGUGCUCUUUUGGCCCCCACUAAAAUUAAUUUUUCAUCAAAGGAUAUGAAUAGUUGUUCGAUGGAAACUUAAUGGAAGAUGUGGGAGCAUCUUUAUGAGUUAAGAUUCCCUGUAGCGAGUAUAUCCUUUGGUGCAUGAGAGUUUAAGUGAUUAUCGUCAUUGUUGAGUUAAACAAUGGGAUUAAUUUUCAUGUUCAUGUAAGGUGAUCAUCGCUAAAGUUAGAGCCAUUAGGUGAUAAAUUGAUACUUCAUUGUGUUGUUAUGUUUGUUAUACUGGAUAAAAAUCCCAGUGAUAGAAUUCAUGUUAGGCGGUUUUGGGUCCUAUUCAAUCCCAAAAGAUGAAUAAGGGGUGAGGCUUUCCCUCACAAUUGUAAAAUCACCACCAUCCUAGUUCACAACCGAUAUAAGACAACCCAACAAUCUCUCCCGCACAUAUUGGGCCUUGGUUCAAAAGCAUGGACACUCGUUUUCACUAGUAGGCUGUUGGACUGAGAUGUUGGUGAAUCUUUUAGUUGAUUUUUUUUUUUUUAUAAAAAGGAAAAGAUUAUGAAGAGAUAAAUACAAUAAAGAAAAAAAGAGAUCAAUAUUGCAAUAAAACAUUUAUGUAGUGAUAUUUUAUAUAAGAAUAAUUUCAUAUAGCUAUAAAAGUAAUGGUCCUAAUUUAUAUUAGGCCAAUUAUAAAUAAGAAUAAAUUUCAUGCUGUAAUAAUUUAUAAUUUUGCUAAAUCUCACCUUAAGGAGCUCACCUCCACGUAGUGUAAAUAUAUAUAUAGAAAAAAAAAAUAUGUUAUAUUACAUUAAGUGAACUUGGGGGUUGUUUGGUACCCCUCUUUACCUGGGAUUGCAUUGUGUUAGCAAUGCAACCCCAUGUUUGGGGUACCAAAUGGCUAUAUUAGCUAAACUCGACAUAUAGUCGGGUUUAGCUAAUGCGUCCAGUUACCGCAUUAGCUUUAGCUUCCUCUUUUUUUUUUUUUUUAUACUUUGUAAUAAUGAUAAAUGAAUAUAAUUUUUAAUUUAAUAUUAUAUAAUAUUAUUUUUACUUUAUAAUUUUAAUAUAAAUUAAUAAAUUUAUUGUUUAAUAAUAUUAUAUUAUAUUUUAAUUUUUAUCAUAGUAAAUGUACAACUAAAAAAUGUAUUAUUUAAUUAUAUUACAUUAAUUAAUAUGUAAAAUUAUAUUAAUUAAUAUAUAUAAUUGAUUAAUUUUUAAUAAGUUAAUAUAACUAAUAAUAAAUACUUAAAUAAUAUAAUAUAAUAUAAUAUUAUUUAAUUUAUUAAAAUAAUUAAACUAGUUAUUUUUAAAUAAUUUAAUAUAACUAAUAAUAAAUAUUUAAAUAUGAAUAAAUUUGAAUAAUAUUAAUUAAAAAUUAAUAAAAUAUAUAAUUAUUAGAUUGUUUAGCACAAUUCAUUUUUUAGCACAAUUCAUUAGUAUUUUCUAAAUAUAUAAUUUAAAUUAGUCACAAAAAAUUAAUACAAUAUAGUGCAAUAUCAAAUAUAAUAUAAUUAAAAAUUAAAUAUAAUACAGUAUAGUACCAAACAUUAUACAACAUUAUUAUAAUACAUUACUAAUACAACACAACAUAAUGCAAUACACCUGCAUUAAAAUAAUGCAAUACAAUAUAAUAUAAUACAGCGUGCCAAACGCACUCUUGUAUCCAUAUAGUACAAAAACAACAUAAGAGAAAAAUGUUAAAGAGAACACAAAAGUUCAGAGACUUUUAAGAUAAUGUUUUAUAUUUGUAACAAGCAUGUGCUAACUUUUUUGAAACCAUGUAUAUUUAUUUUUUCCCUAAGUUACAUGCAUGUAACUUAGCAUUAGCCUCAUUUUAUUAUUAUCUAUACAUUGGAUUUGACAUGUUUCAUUAAUAAUUUAUUACUACAUCUCUAUUAAAAUAAUUGAGGUCCUGCACUUUCAUUGGAAGAUAGGAGAAAAAAAUAAUUGAUAAGAGAAGAAAACAAUUUAAAAUAAAAUUUUAAAAUAUUUAUCAUUACUUAAAAAAAUUAAUUUUCUUUUCCUAAAGUUAUUCCACAGACGGUAGUACAAAAUUAUGUGAUCACGCACGCACACAGUGAUAGGGUAAUUAUUGAAACAAAAAUGAAAUUUGUCUGUUUUCCAUUUGAAAUCUAUUACUAAUAUAAAGGAAAAGAAAAAUCUUUAAUUACUUUUUUUUUUUUUCAUGUAGGGCAAGGCAAACAUCACUAUCUUGUUAAAUUAAUAUUUAAAAUUAUCCCACCAAAUGUAAUUAUAACAAAUUAAAUAAAUAUUUACUAUGAGUUCAGCAUCUGGGUUCCCACUCCAUAAAUAUGCCAGCAUUUUAAAACAAACAAGACUUAGAGUGUGUUUGGGAUUGAGGUGCUGUAGCUUUUAAGCUACAGCUGCUGUGAAAAAAAAACUGUAAUUAUGAAACAAAAUUUAAUAAUAUAUAGUAAAUAUAAAUUUUAAAUAAUAAUUUUGAUAAAAAUAUUAAAGAUAUAAUAAAUUUUAUAUUAUACAAGUGAAAAAUCAUAUUAACAUAGCUUAAAAGCUACAGCAGCUAGUGUUUACCAAACACUACAGCUGCCCAACCUCAAUCCCAAACGCACUCUUAAGCGACAAAUACAAUUUUGUCAAUGAGUAUAAAGGUCGCAUUAUAAGCCAAAGGAGAGCAGUUAAGGGAAGAUAAAAUAUUAUUGUAUUGAACUGGUUAUUUCUCUCUAGGGGUGGCAAAAAAGUCUGGGCUGGUCUAGGCCCGCGGGCCUAAAGCCCGGCCCGUAAGGGUGGGCCCAGAUAUUGGCCUAAAAAUUACAAAGCCCACAUAUGUGGGAUCUGGACAAGGGCUUAGCAAAAAAGCCCGGACUUGGCCCAGGCUUUUUAAAUUUAUGAAUAAAAAAUAAAUUUAAUUUAAAUAAAAAAAGAAAAAACUCAAAAUAUUAAAUUAGUUUAAUUUUUUAUAUUAGUAUUUGUUAUUUUAUUAGGUUGUAUUAUUAAUAUUUUAUGUAUUGGACUAUUAUUCUAUUUUAUAUAUUAGAUGAUUAUCUUUAAUUUAAAUUUUUUCUUAAUUUAAAAAAUAUUUUAUAAUUAAUUUAAAAAGCCCAAGCCCGGCCCAGGCCCGGCCCGAGUUCGGUCCGUCCAAAUUUAAACGGGUUUUUGAAGGGCCUGGACUUCGUUUGAAUGAUGUGGGCUUGGGCCUGGGCUUUGAAAAGCCCGGCCCAAACCCGCAAAUUGCCAUCCCUAUUUCUCUCUCUUCUAUUAUUAAUUUGUUGUUAAUUAUAACCUUUGCGGGAUUUAAAAAAAAGAAAAAGGCCCUUGCGUUUUCAUCAACAUUACACUGCCAAAUGUGAAAUGGAUUGAGAACCACAUGUCCUUAUUAUGCUGCCACUCCACAAAUGUUUAUUUUCCCCUCAUUCUCCUUAGAAGCCAGAGGCAGAGUCAGUCCUGCACCCCUUUACGUAUGCCUUCUCCAUAAAUUAACAUAAACGAUUAGUAUUAGAGCUGGCAAAAUGGGUCAUCGGGUCGUGUUUGUAUUGUGUCAGCUUCGUGUCGUGUCAAAUUUAGGUCGACCCAUACUCGACCCAUUUAAUAAUCGUGUCAAAAUAUUGAGACACAAACCCGACACGGAAAAAUAAUCAGGUUAUCCAAUAACCCGCUAUCUAUAUAUUAAACAAAAGUUACAUCAAAUAUUUACACAUUUUCAUACAUACGUAUGCGCAUACAUACAUACAUAAUUUAUUGAUAUUAUAAAAUAUACAUAUCUACUAAAAUAUUAGACACACUAUUGAGGUUUUAAUUAUAUAUGUGUAAAUAAUAUUAUAUAUCAAUAUUAUAAAAUAUAUAUGUCUACGAAUAUUUUAUACAUUUAUACUAGCUCUAAAUGUAUUUAAAAAUUCAUAAAUAAAAUAUUAUGUCUAUAUUCAUCCUUUUAAAGAAUUAAAAAAAAUCAUCUCUAAUAUUUGAGUUUUGGUGACAAGAAUUUACAAAUUAUUUUAAAAUAGAAAAUAUAAUCGGGUCAUUGAUCGGGUAAAUGGGUCAAGAAUUUUAACUCUAACCCGACACGAAAAAAAAUCGUGUUGACCCGGACCCGACCCAUUUAAUAAUCGUGUUAAAUUCAACGACUCAUACCCAUUUAUUAGUGUUGUGUUCGUAUUGGGUAAUCGGGCCGUGUCAAAUUUUGCCAUAUCUAAUUAGUAUAAGAUGAUUUAACCACACAAUAUGUCAAAUUUACAUUUUGCAAUCAUUGAUACUUGGUGCUACAGUCAAAUUUAUAUUUAUUCAAGGUAGCGGGUUCAAUAAUUAAAUUCACAUAAAAAGAAAGAUGCAUUCACCCUUAAUGGCCCAGGAGCCAACCAAAUUCCGCGUCCGCGAAGUGAGGCACUUUUCUUAAAGUUAUUUCACAGACGGAAGAACAAAAUUCUGUGAUCACGCACAAAGUGAUAGGGCAAUUAUUGAAACAUAAAUAAUGUCUAUUUCCCAUCCGAAAUCUGUUCUAAUAUAAAGGACAAGAAAAAGUUUUAAUUAUUAUUAUUAUUAUUUUUCACGUAGGGCAAGGCAAACAUCACUAUCUUGUUAAAUUAACAUUUAACAUUGUCCCACCAAAUAUAAUUAUAACCAAUUAAAUAAAUAUUUACUAUGAGUUCAGCAUCUGAGUUCCCACUCCAUAAAUAUGCCAGUAUUUUAAAACAAACAAGACUUAAGCGACAAAUACAAUUUUGUCACCGAGUGUAAAGGUCGCAUUUUAAGCCAAAGGAGAGCAGUUAAAAGGAAGAUAAAAUAUUACCGUAUUUCUCUCUCUUCUAUUAUUAGUUUGUUGUUAAUUAUAACCCUUUUCGGGAUUAAAAAAAGAAAAGAAAAAGGCCUUUGCGUUUUCUAUUAGCAUGUGUACAUGUUUAUUUUCUGUGUUAGUAGUGCAGAGUAUAUACUGAACACACUGGACAAAAAGGGUAAUUUGUAAUCAAUUUAGUUUUAUAAACAUUAAUCUCGGAAGUAGUUACUGAACUUCAUGUGGAAAAAAAAAUAAAAAAAGAUAGUCGCUGAGCAAUAAAUCUACAAGUCAUCAAAAUCGAGCAAUUCUAUGGCAAGAAUUCUUUCCAGUGGGAGGAUUCUAAAACCAAGAAUCCACUGCUGAAAUUUUAUUCACUGAAAAUAGGGAACGAUUGACACACCAGACAACAAGAACAAGAUGCAAUUAAAUCUAAUGAAAAUUAAAAAAAGAAAAAAGAAAUACAUAUUCAAACAUAUUAAUGAAAAUCAUCCCCAAGUACGACACCGGAAGAGAAAGCAUUUUGGGUGGCUUGAUCCUCCCAUUGUAGCUCUUCCCACCAUUCUUUCUCUCCCUCGAUGACAACUCGACGUUCCUUCACGCUGCUGGAAUUGACUGGGAGCUUCUUCAGCUGUGGGCAUCCACGUACUUGAAUUUUCUUCAGCUUUGGAAGGGGCAGGGGAUUCGGGUAAACGCUCUUUAAAUUUCUUCCCCACUUUAUGGUUAGAGAUUCGAGUUGUGCAAAAAAGUUAUGCUCUGACCCGAUUAUCUCCGAAAUAUCUCUCAAUUUAUCAACACUAAUUAUUUCUUCCAUUUCUGUACAAAAGACUAUACGCAGCUGCUUGAGAAUUUGAACAAAAACUAGCCACGUUAAGUCUUUCAUUUUUUUGCAACUGCUUAUGACAACUCUGUCGAGACUGCGGAAACCACUUUGAAAAAGCUUCUUCACCUCUUCUGUGCUGUCAAUCUUCAUCUCUUCCAAGUUAAUGUCUUCAAGAUCUAACUCCUGAAGAUUCUCCAUGUAUGCGAGAUGUAAGAGAUUGAACGGUGCACUUUUACAAUGGUAAACCAAUACAAAUUGAGUGAUGCUCACCAGCUUUGGAUAUUUCAAAAACUUUUGGACAGCAAGUGAACUUCCGAAGGACCAGCUUAAAACAUUUAAAUGCUUCAAACCCAGCAAUUCCUUCAUCAAAGGUUCAGCACCAUCACAUAGAACGUUACCUUCUUUCCCUUUUAUUACCGAAAGCGACCGCACCCACGCAACCUGAGUACCUCCAACUUUGAAAAGCCAGAUAUCAAUUCAUGUGGAAUUAUAGACAAAUGAAAUGCAUAGUCCAAGUUCAAAUAUCUCAGCUUCUCCAAUGCCUUCAGCUCUUGCGGCAACCCAGUUAUGUCAGUCGAUGAAAGAUCAAGAUGAUGUAAUGAAACCAAACUUGAAAUCCCUGAAGGUAGUUUACUUAGGGAAAGAUUUAUUCGUAGACUUAAUACUCUAAGAGAAGACAUCGAUUGAAAGAAGCCAUCAGUAAUCUCCUCAAUCCAAUUUCCAUCCAGAAGUAAAGUGACGAGACGUGGACACGUGGGAAUUUCCGAUAGGCUUUGAAUUCUAGUUUUCAUCAGAGAUAUCCGUUUGGCACCUUCCCAUUCUUCAACCUUUGGUGCUUCGGUCAGUUUAACUCCAGCGUGAACCAGAAAGUUCUGCUCCUCCUUGUCUACCGUGCACGCUAUCCAUAAUGACAUCUCACGAAUCAUAUCGUGCAUCUUUACAUGAUCAUCGCCUUCUUCCUCCAAUAAGCAUGCUUGAAGAAGGUCAUCAAUAAAAUCGCAUCCAUCAUCAAAAUCACACACAAAUCCUUCACUAAUCCAGUAAUCAAUCAAUUCCCUUCUAGGAAUUUCGUAGUCUUCAGGGUACAAACAACAAUACAGGAGACAGGAACGAAGUUCGUCCGUAGACAAACUAUCAUAGCUGAACUUUAAACGCGAAAACACCUCUUCUUUCAUACCUGAGCAUUUAGAAGCUGAUGUUCUCAUUUUGUGAAUUGCACGUUUCCAAUCUCCAACUUUCCUUUGGCUUUUCAUCGCUCGACCCACUGUUUUAAGCGCUAGCGGCAACCCACCACACUCUCUUGCCAAGGUUUCGGCUAGCUCUGGAAUACUGGUAUGACUGUCAAGAGUGGAUCUUUCGACCAUCUCCUGAAAUAAUUCCCAGGCUUUAUCAUGCGCCAAACUAUACACUUCCACCUUUUCAGCGUCCAUUUGAUCGCAAACACCAGCUGAA